AAAAAAAUAUUCACAAAGUUAAGCAAACAUUACCACCAUCCAGUUCCAAAACAUUUUCAUACCCAUAUUCCACACCCAUUAGCAGUCACUCCCAUUCCUCCAAGAAACCACUAAUCUACUUUCUGUUUCUAUUCUGGAGACUCCCCAGAAAUAAGAUCACAUAACAUGUGGUCUUUUGUGUCUGGCUUCUUUCACUUAGCAUAAUGUUUUCUAGGUUCAUCGGUGCUGUAGCUGGAUGCAUCCGCAUUCUAGUCCUUUUUAUUGCAGAAUAACAUUCCACUCCUCUUCAUCAAGCUGUUGCCUGGAGGCUGCAAGUAAUCAACAGUGCUGAACAGAUCAGGGUGUCCAAUUCACUGAUAUGCAUGGAGCACCUGGUGAACCAGGAGAAGUGGACCGCCUCAGCUGUGAGUCCGUGCGGCUCAACGACCAGGGAGGAGCCCAGGUG